rnacentral:rRNA from 1 species
GACGAACGCUGGCGGCGUGCUCAACACAUGCCAGUCGAACGGUGAAGCGCCUUCCUUUUUGGUGGGUGUGGAUGAGUGGCGAACGGGUGAGUAACACGUGAGUAACCUGCCCCCUUCUUCUGGAUAACCGCAUGAAAGUGUGGCUAAUACGGGAUAUUCUGGGUCUGUCGCAUGAUGGGUCUGGGAAAGAUAUUGUUUCGGUGGGGGAUGGGCUCGCGGCCUAUCAGCUUGUUGGGGGGGUGAGGGCCUACCAAGGCGGUGACGGGUAGCCGGCAUGAGAGGGUGGACGGUCACACUGGGACUGAGACACGGCCCAGACUCCUACGGGAGGCAGCAGUGGGGAAUAUUGCACAAUGGGCGCAAGCCUGAUGCAGCGACGCCGCGUGAGGGAUGGAGGCCUGCGGGUUGUGAACCUCUUUCGCCAGUGAAGCAGGCCUGCCUCGUUUGUGGGUGGGUUGACGGUAGCUGGAUAAGAAGCGCCGGCUAACUACGUG